rfam:Salmo salar isolate Sally breed double haploid chromosome ssa26, whole genome shotgun sequence.
UGGCUCAGUUGGUAGAGCAUGGUGUUUGCAACGCCAGGGUUGUGGGUUCGAUUUCCCAC